rnacentral:misc_RNA from 1 species
GUAACCCUAGAUCGCGAAUUCGCGGAUUCCGCUCUCUCCCCGGCGACACCGGCGAUACCAAUUGAAUCGCCAGACCGCCAAUUCAUCGGUUUCUUUCCGCCCAUGGCGGAUCGUGAGGAGGAGGAUCUCCAGAUGGCUAUCAGGAUGAGCCUUCAGGAAUCACUGCCCGAGGCCAAGCGGAGCAAGCCGCGGGAGACCACGCCGGUGGAGGAGUCGCCCGA